UACGUAGGGGGCGAGCGUUGUCCGGAUUUAUUGGGCGUAAAGAGCUCGUAGGCGGCUCGUCGCGUCGGCUGUGAAAACCCGCGGCUUAACUGUGGGCUUGCAGCUGAUACGGGCGGGCUAGAGUUCGGUAGGGGAGACUGGAAUUCCUGGUGUAGCGGUGAAAUGCGCAGAUAUCAGGAGGAACACCGGUGGCGAAGGCGGGUCUCUGGGCCGAUACUGACGCUGAGGAGCGAAAGCGUGGGGAGCGAACAGG
rnacentral:rRNA from 1 species